AGGGUUCGAUUCUGGCUCAGGAUGAACGCUAGCGACAGGCCUAACACAUGCAAGUCGAGGGGCAGCGCGGGAGAAGCUUGCUUUCCUGGCGGCGACCGGCGCACGGGUGCGUAACAGGUGUGCAAUCUGUCCAUAGUCGGGGGAUAGCUUAGCGAAAGCUGAAUUAACACUCCAUGUGAAUCGAAGCCGCAUGACUUUGAUUUGAAACGCAAGGACUAUGGGUGAGCACGCUUCUGAUUAGGUAGUUGGUGGGGUAACGGCCCACCAAGCCGACGAUCAGUAGGGGUUCUGAGAGGAAGGUCCCCCACAUUGGAACUGAGACACGGUCCAAACUCCUACGGGAGGCAGCAGUGAGGAAUAUUGGUCAAUGGGCGAGAGCCUGAACCAGUCAAAGUAGCGUGCAGGAUGACGGCCCUAUGGGUUGUAAACUGCUUUUAUACGGGGAUAAAGUGAGGGACGUGUCCCUUUUUGUAGGUACCGUAUGAAUAAGGACCGGCUAAUUCCGUGCCAGCCGCGGC
rnacentral:rRNA from 1 species